UCGACUCCCUUAUUUUUUUGUUUUUUUAUUUAUUUUUUUGGUAAAAAAUGGAAGUUCCCGCCGAUACAUCUCCCCCACCGAGGUCUCUCCAAUACCAAUUCUCUCUUAGUCAUCUCUCUCACAGUGAUGGGAUUUGAUACAAAUAUGAUGGUGGGCUUCUCUUUAGUUGGGUCAUGCACCAGAUCACCUCACACCUCAAGACCCUUAAGUUCAUGCUCCCAAAGAUAACUGAAGGGGAUCAAUAUUGGAUCAAUGCAUGGUGAGCUUUCUUCUCCUUAAUCAUUUUUUUUUCUGUCAAUGAGGACAUACUCAGUGCAUAAGUAGAUGUAAUCUUCCUUGUCCACGGAAAUAAAUCAAUAAUUUUGCAUAAACAUUUGCAGUACCUGUUUAUUUCUCUAUCGAUUCCUCUAGUUAUGUAUGUGGGACACACAAUAUCUCUUUUUCUAAAUUUGUAAGUAAAGACAUAUUCUAGUUUCGUUCAUAAUAAGUAAAUUGUCUUCUGAUUUC